UAGGGAAUCUUCCGCAAUGGACGAAAGUCUGACGGAGCAACGCCGCGUGAGUGAAGAAGGAUUUCGGUUCGUAAAACUCUGUUGUUAGGGAAGAAAAAAUGUAUAGUAACUAUAUACAAAAGAGACGGUACCUAACCAGAAAGCCACGGCUAACUACGUGCCAGCAGCCGCGGUAAUACGUAGGUGGCAAGCGUUGUCCGGAAUUAUUGGGCGUAAAGCGCGCGCAGGUGGUUUAGAAAGUCUGAUGUGAAAGCCCACGGCUCAACCGUGGAGGGUUAUUGGAAACUAAUAAACCUGAGUGCAGGGGAGAAAAGUGGAAUUCCCAGUGUAGCGGUGAAAUGCCUAGAGAUUAAGAGGAACACCGGUGGCGAAAGCGGCUUUUUGGCCUGGAACUGACACUGAGGCGCGAAAGGGUGGGGAGCAAACAGG
rnacentral:rRNA from 1 species